rnacentral:rRNA from 1 species
CCUACGGGAGGCAGCAGUGGGGAAUAUUGGUCAAUGGGCGAAAGCCUGAACCAGCGACGCCGCGUGGAGGAUGAAGGCCGAAAGGUCUUUAAACUCCUUUUGUAAGGGAAAAAGGAAUGAGGUGUGAAUAAUGCCUAUCUGAUG